UGGGAAUUUUGGACAAUGGGCGAAAGCCUGAUCCAGCAAUGCCGCGUGUGUGAAGAAGGCCUUCGGGUUGUAAAGCACUUUUGUCCGGAAAGAAAUCCUUGGCUCUAAUACAGUCGGGGGAUGACGGUACCGGAAGAAUAAGCACCGGCUAACUACGUGCCAGCAGCCGCGGUAAUACGUAGGGUGCAAGCGUUAAUCGGAAUUACUGGGCGUAAGGCGUGCGCAGGCGGUUUGCUAAGACCGAUGUGAAAUCCCCGGGCUCAACCUGGGAACUGCAUUGGUGACUGGCAGGCUAGAGUAUGGCAGAGGGGGGUAGAAUUCCACGUGUAGCAGUGAAAUGCGUAGAGAUGUGGAGGAAUACCGAUGGCGAAGGCAGCCCCCUGGGCCAAUACUGACGCUCAUGCACGAAAGCGUGGGGAGCAAACAGGAUUAGAUACCCUGGUAGUCCACGCCCUAAACGAUGUCAACUAGUUGUUGGGGAUUCAUUUCCUUAGUAACGUAGCUAACGCGUGAAGUUGACCGCCUGGGGAGUACGGUCGCAAGAUUAAAACUCAAAUGAAUUGACGGGGUCAU
rnacentral:rRNA from 1 species